AGUGAACGCUGGCGGUAGGCCUAACACAUGCAGGUCGAACGGCAGCACAGUAAGAGCUUGCUCUUACGGGUGGCGAGUGGCGGACGGGUGAGGAAUACAUCGGAAUCUACUUUUUCGUGGGGGAUAACGUAGGGAAACUUACGCUAAUACCGCAUACGACCUACGGGUGAAAGCAGGGGAUCUUCGGACCUUGCGCGAUUGAAUGAGCCGAUGUCGGAUUAGCUAGUUGGCGGGGUAAAGGCCCACCAAGGCGACGAUCCGUAGCUGGUCUGAGAGGAUGAUCAGCCACACUGGAACUGAGACACGGUCCAGACUCCUACGGGAGGCAGCAGUGGGGAAUAUUGGACAAUGGGCGCAAGCCUGAUCCAGCCAUACCGCGUGGGUGAAGAAGGCCUUCGGGUUGUAAAGCCCUUUUGUUGGGAAAGAAAAGCAGCAGGUUAAUACCCCGCUGUUCUGACGGUACCCAAAGAAUAAGCACCGGCUAACUUCGU
rnacentral:rRNA from 1 species